AUUGAACGCUGGCGGCAGGCCUAACACAUGCAAGUCGAACGGUAGCACAGAGAGCUUGCUCUCGGGUGACGAGUGGCGGACGGGUGAGUAAUGUCUGGGAAACUGCCUGACGGAGGGGGAUAACUACUGGAAACGGUAGCUAAUACCGCAUAACGUCGCAAGACCAAAGAGGGGGACCUUCGGGCCCCUUGCCAUCAGAUGUGCCCAGAUGGGAUUAGCUAGUAGGUGGGGUAAUGGCUCACCUAGGCGACGAUCCCUAGCUGGUCUGAGAGGAUGACCAGCCACACUGGAACUGAGACACGGUCCAGACUCCUACGGGAGGCAGCAGUGGGGAAUAUUGCACAAUGGGCGCAAGCCUGAUGCAGCCAUGCCGCGUGUAUGAAGAAGGCCUUCGGGUUGUAAAGUACUUUCAGCGGGGAGGAAGGUGUUGUGGUUAAUAACCGCAGCAAUUGACGUUACCCGCAGAAGAAGCACCGGCUAACUCCGUGCCAGCCGCCGCCGUAAAAC
rnacentral:rRNA from 1 species